rnacentral:lncRNA from 1 species
UCAAAAGAAGCUGCUGAUGAAAUGUUGAUUUUCAUGUUUAUAGGUUUGUUUAAACAAACUUCACCUUUCAAGAUGAUUGAAGAGUUUCCAAGCAUUAAAGUCUCCGAAAGUGCACAUUUGCUUGAUUUUUUUUACGACAUGAUUGUGCCUAAAUUAGAAACAGGAAACGACGUUACUAUUGAUGUUGAAAUUCAACAAGAAGAGGAACAAGACAAAGGUGAAGAUGAAAAUUCAAAAGGUGAGUCUAGUUAUGUUAAACAAUCACUCAAUGAAAUUUGGAGGAUUCUUUCAAAACUUAACAAAGGACCCAUGAAAUCACUCAAAAGGGUUCUUGUAUCAAGACCUUUGAAAGUGCUUGUAAAGUUUCCAUGGAAAAUCAUAAGCAAUCUUCCAGGAGGUAAACUUCUAAAACAACCUAUUGAAUCUUUAUUUUUCUCUAAAGAAAAAGGUGAUGAAGAAAAACAAGAAACCGAAAAUUCUAGUACUCUUAUUAACAAGCCACCUUUGAUUGAAGAAAUCACUAUUCCUUCUGUUAAAGAACUUGUGAAAUCAGGAGUGAAUUUUUCUCCUACUAAUGGGAGCAUAUCAAGUAUUAGUUUUGAUGCAAAAACAAGAACUUUUUACCUUCCUAUUAUCGGUUUGGAUGUUAAUACCGAAGUUUUUCUAAGAAACUUGGUUGCGUAUGAAUCAUCGGUUGGAUCGGGACCAUUGGUUAUAACACGGUACACCGAAUUGAUGAAUGGAAUUAUAGACUCGGAAGAUGAUG